rnacentral:rRNA from 1 species
UACAGGGGGGGCAAGCGUUGUUCGGAAUUACUGGGCGUAAAGGGCUCGUAGGCGGCCAACUAAGUCACACGUGAAAUCCCCAGGCUUAACCUGGGAACUGCGUGUGAUACUGGAUGGCUUGAAUUCGGGAGAGGGAUGCAGAAUUCCAGGUGUAGCGGUGAAAUGCGUAGAUAUCUGGAGGAAUACCGGUGGCGAAGGCGGCAUCCUGGACCGGUACUGACGCUGAGGAGCGAAAGCGUGGGGAGCGAACAGG